GACUCGGGCUGACGCGGGCUCACCUGUGGGUGCCGGUAGGGACGAGCGAACGCCGCCGCCUCCCAGCCCAGAGAGCCACCUCGUGUUUCAGCCCUGCGGAUAAUCCAGUGCCCCGUCGCUCUCGGCCCCCACAGCCUCUUGAGGUCCCUUGUGUGGGGAGUGGGGACUGGUGUAAUUUUAAGAGGAAACGACUUGGCCGUCCCUGUUGGGAUGUAAAGCAGCCCGUGGCAGCACUCAGUGAGAGUCCAAGCCCCAGCAGGGGAGCCAGAGUGGACCGAUCGCUCCAGGAACAUCAGGAACACGAUACAGGUGCUGCCAAAGGCAAAUUACCUUCAUCCCAGCAUUUUUACAUGGUGAGCUUUGUCUGGAAUUGAAGAAAAGAAAAAACUGAAAUGAACAGCUCACUGUGACCAUGCAGCUUGAGUCACUUGAACCAUGUCAGAUGGGAAACUAUUCUUAGUGGUCUUUCUGUGCAGUUGGCUUAUCUUCCAAGGAGAAAAGAAACCAUUUUUUUUGGGUGGGCGCUUCACCUUUCACCAGAAGAUUUGCUUGACCUCU